rnacentral:rRNA from 1 species
GACGAACGCUGGCGGCGCGCUUAACACAUGCAAGUCGAGCGAGAACCAGGACUUCGGUCCUGGGGACAGCGGCGAACGGGUGAGUAACACGUGGAUAACCUGCCCUCGGCGCCGGGAUAGCCCGGGGAAACCCGGAUUAAUACCGGAUGGCCCUUCCGGCUUUCGAGCCGGUCGGAAAAGGUAGCUUCGGCCUCCGGCCGAGGCUGGGUCCGCGGCGGAUUAGCUUGUUGGUGGGGUAACGGCCUACCAAGGCUCCGAUCCGUAGCUGGUCUGAGAGGACGAUCAGCCACACUGGGACUGAGACACGGCCCAGACUCCUACGGGAGGCAGCAGUGGGGAAUCUUGCGCAAUGGGCGAAAGCCUGACGCAGCGACGCCGCGUGAGGGAGGAAGGCCUUCGGGUUGUAAACCUCUUUCAGGAGGGACGAAGCUACUCGGGUGAAUAGCCCAGAGGGUGACGGUACCUCCAGAAGAAGCCCCGGCUAACUACGUGCCAGCCGCCGCAGUAAUAC